CCUACGGGAGGCAGCAGUAGGGAAUCUUCCACAAUGGGCGAAAGCCUGAUGGAGCAACGCCGCGUGGGUGAAGAAGGUCUUCGGAUCGUAAAACCCUGUUGUUAGAGAAGAAAGUGCGUGAGAGUAACUGUUCACGUUUCGACGGUAUCUAACCAGAAAGCCACGGCUAACUACGUGCCAGCAGCCGCGGUAAUACGUAGGUGGCAAGCGUUAUCCGGAUUGAUUGGGCGUAAAGGGAACGCAGGCGGUCUUUUAAGUCUGAUGUGAAAGCCUUCGGCUUAACCGGAGUAGUGCAUUGGAAACUGGGAGACUUGAGUGCAGAAGAGGAGAGUGGAGCUCCAUGUGUAGCGGUGAAAUGCGUAGAUAUAUGGAAGAACACCAGUGGCGAAAGCGGCUCUCUGGUCUGUAACUGACGCUGAGGUUCGAAAGCGUGGGUAGCAAACAGGAUUAGAUACCCCGGUAGUC
rnacentral:rRNA from 1 species